UAUAAGUGCAACCAUAAGUUUUCGCGCCCAACUUUGAUCGUUCGUCUUAUUUGAAAGUUUUUUAUAAUUAGUAUUUUUAUUGUUAUGAGAUGAUAAAAUAUAAAUAGUACUUUACUCGUGACUUAUGUUUUUAAAUUUUUUUAAAAAUUUUUCAAAUAAGAUGGAUGGUUAAAGUUGGGCGCGGAAAACCAUGGCUGUACUUAUA
rnacentral:pre_miRNA from 1 species